UACGUAGGGUGCGAGCGUUAAUCGGAAUUACUGGGCGUAAAGCGUGCGCAGGCGGUCUGUUAAGACCGAUGUGAAAUCCCCGGGCCUAACCUGGGAAACUGCAUUGGUGACUGGCAGGCUUGAGUGUGGCAGAGGGAGGUAGAAUUCCACGGUGUAGCAGUGAAAUGCGUAGAGAUGUGGAGGAAUACCGAUGCGAAGGCAGCCUCCUGGGCCAACACUGACGCUCAUGCACGAAAGCUGGGAGCAAACAGG
rnacentral:rRNA from 1 species